UACAGAGGUCUCAACCGUUGUUCGGAUUCAUUGGGCGUAAAGGGUGCGUAGGCGGUCGCGUAAGUCAGGUGUGAAAUCUCAGGGCUCAACCCUGAAACUGCACUUGAUACUGCGUGGCUCGGGUACUGGAGAGGAGACUGGAAUUUACGGUGUAGCAGUGAAAUGCGUAGAUAUCGUAAGGAAGACCAGUGGCGAAGGCGGGUCUCUGGACAGUUCCUGACACUGAGACACGAAGGCCAGGGGAGCAAACGGG
rnacentral:rRNA from 1 species